rnacentral:lncRNA from 1 species
UAUUUUAAUUAAAAAAAUUAUAAGACAAACAUAAUCCAACCAUAUAGCUACGGAUGUUCGAUUAACUUUAUUUUUUUUAUGAACACUAUACUCAGCAAAUUCUAUAAAAUCUUAUUGAUCCCAGAGUGAGCCCAAGUUGCAUGGGCAGUAGCAACCUGUUGUAUUUUUAAAAUAUUAUAAAUAAUAAACUAGUUUCUCUUUAAAAAAAAUUUAAAAUUUUUUAGAUGAAUUGAUAAUUAAUUAAUACUUUCACAUGGUAAUCAAAACACUUACCUUGGGUUUGAUGCUUAUGGAAGAGAGACAGUGAAAAAAGUAUUGAGAAUAUUUAAAAUAAUAAAAUUGUUUUUCUCUUUAAAAUCUUAAAUUUUUAAUGAAUACACUAUACAUCCCAGUUAUUAGGUUGUGUUGAAUUUUGUAUUCAGUUUGAGCAAUUAUAUAUUCUUUUGUCUCAUACUUGAUUGUUAUUUUUUAGUCUCAUUGACUCAUGACCUGUAAUAAAGCGGGACCCAUGGUUAUAUUUUAAAAUUUUGAGGAUGAUGUGGGUCCCAACAAAGUAUCUUUUAAUUCCUUAUUAAAGGUAGGUAGCUUACUGUGACGGGUACUAUCCAAAGCAUAGUUAUUAAAACCGAACUGAAUCGGCCGGUUCAACGGGUUCAAGCGGAAAUCGGCACUAACUUGGUUCGGCUAAACUAUUUUACCGGGAAAUACAAGCUGAAACCGAAUUGAACCGGUUGAACCGACCGUUUUUUUAUUCGAACCGGUCCCCGAUUUUUUAAUCCGUUGAACCGGUCGGUUUUUUAACAGAAAAAUUAAAAUUUUGAAUUUUUAUAGUUUGAUCCUAAAUUUUGAAUUAAAGUUUUAAAUUUUUACGUUUGACCCCAAAUUUUGAAUUGAAUUUUUAAUUUUUUAAUAGUUUUUCUAUAAUUAAAUUUUUUACAUGAAUGGGUAAAAAAUAUUUUUUUUCUGAUUUUAUAAUAAAAAUAUAAUUUAUUAUUUAUUAAUUAUAAAUCCGAUUGAACCGAUUGAACCGUUGGUUGAAACCAUGUGAACCGUUGAAACGGGUGUUUUUGGACCGCGUUUCAAUAUCCGGUUCGGUUCUGAUAACUAUGAUCCAAAGUCUCGUCUAUUUAAAGCUGAGUAGGCUUUGAAAGAGGGUACAUCGUAUAACUUUGAUUUUAAAAUAUUUGUAUGCAAAAUAUUUGUAUAUUAAUAUAAAGAUGUAUUUUCUUAAAUUUUCAUAUGAUUAGUAUAAGUUUAUGUUUUCUUUUUAAAACCAAAUACUAUAUAUUUAAUAUAAUCUAUAAUAUAAGACAUCUUUGUUUUUGAAUCUCAAAAUUAUCUCCCAUUAUCUUUCGUUAAAAUCCAUUUGAAUUAAUCCAAUGGAUAAGAUUUUAUCUGAAAUUAUAUUUUUCUCCCUAAAAAAUAUUACUUCUUUUUUCUCAAAUGGGGGGCCCCACAUAUGUUGUGAUUCAAUGAUUAAUUUUUUUUUUUAAAAUGAGUAUAUUUUUUACCCAUUCGAUUACUUUUUUAGUGGGACUCACACAAAAAAACUAAAACACCAAUUUUUUUUCUUCAUUUUGAAUUUUCUUAUUUAAUAAAAAAAAUUAUUUGAUUAAAAUUUUAUAUUAUUUUAAUUCUUUUGACGAGAAUUGUCACAAAAUAUAAAAAAAAUUAUUUAAUUUGGAGAUAUUUUUUUUUAAUUUUUAGUGAAAUUUCUCUUAAAUUAGAUAAUUUUUUUAUAUAUUUAAAUUCUUUUUAUCAAGAGAAAUAGAAAAAAUAUAAAAUAUUGAAUAAUCGGUGAAAAAAAUCACUAAAAAUAAUAAAAUGUGAAAAGUAAAGCAGAUUAAAAAAUUAAAAUUUAUCCCAAAUAUAAAAACGGAAGUGAUUUUAAUACGUUUAUUUUUUUUAAUUGAUAUUUUUUAUAUAUUUAUUAAAAUUAAAUUAUCCAAUAGGGUGUAAAAAAAGAUUGAGGUAAAACUUAUAUUAAAUAAAAUUAUCAUAAUAAGUACAAAAAAAUCGAUUAAUAUAAGGACACAAAUAUUUUUGAAUUUUUUAAAACUAUUAUAAGAUAAGUAUCUUUGUUUUAUAUCAAAAUUAUUUUUUACUAUUUACGGUUAAAUUCAUUUGAGUUACUUAAAGAUAAGAUUUCACCUGAAAUAAUUUUUUUUCUCAAAAAAAUAUCGUUUUCUUCUUCUCAAAGGUGUGAGCCUCACAUAGGUUGUGAUACAAUGAUCAUUUUUUUUUUAAAGAUGAGCAUAUUUUUUAUUCAUUGGUUUAUUUUUCUAGUGGGACCUACAAAAAAAAGCACAUUUAUUUUCUUUUGAUUUAUCUCAAACUAGUAUCAAUAUUUUUAAAUUAUUAUAUUUUUUAAUUUGUAGCAAUAUAUCUCAUCACAUAUGCAUACAAUAUAUCUCUUAUCUAACGUUUAUAUUUUAUUUGUUUUUUAAGUUAUAAAAUUUUAAUAAGUAAGUCUAAGAGAUAAUUCUUUUUGUGUGUGUAA